UGUAUGCUGAUGAAACCCAUGCGUGUCAACUGACUCUGUCCGCCUCUGCUGUGGCGUUGCUCUGGUCGGCGUUUUGCUGGCUGAAGUUUUCGCCACAUCGGGGACCCAGAGACAUGAUCACACUCAUGAUCCUGAAUACA
ensembl:snoRNA SNORD10 small nucleolar RNA, C/D box 10